GUCUUUGUGUAACACUCUUGCUGUUCUUUGCUUGCAAAUAUGCAUUGUCAACUCUGUUUAUAUAUAUGGUGUAUGUAUUCUUGUGUUCGAUGGUUGUAUAAAAACUGGAUUGGUUUGUGAAGUUAAACUUGUAGUAAUGUGUGCAGUCAUACUACGAACAUACUAUAGACCUUUUAAAAUCUGUUUAUAUAUCUAAAGCUGUUAUGUUGAUAGUGUCGACCUUAUGACUUCUAUCACCUCUUUAUGAUGUAUGAAUCUCCACUAUGCUUUCUUAUGGUCCAAGGGUGUCCACGCAUACACUGCCUUCCUUCAUUUGCCUCUCUUUUUCGGUGCUAUGGCAUGUAAUUAUAUCGGUUCAGUGCAUAUCAUGUUAGUCGUGCCCCAUCAUUGGAGACCAUGUUGUCCAGAAACUUUCUUGUUCGAAUUUAGAGGGCUAGAGAUCAUGUUGUCCAGAAACUUUGUUGUGAUGAUAAUCGUUGGAAUUCAGAAGGCUCCAUUCGGAACACACUGGAGCACUUCUCUGUGUUGUUUAUCUUUGGGCACAGAUCUCUGUGCUGUUUAUCUUUGGGCACAGAUCUCUGUGGUGUUUGAUCC
rnacentral:lncRNA from 1 species